AUCUUUGAACAUGGGGAAAUAACACAACCAAUGAGGUUCUAACUGGGGCACAUCUAUUGCUGGUUGAAAUCUAAUUCCAAACCCCUUGAUGAAACGCUUCAUUUAUUACAUAAAAUUUCACCAGAAA
rnacentral:snRNA from 1 species